rnacentral:snRNA from 11 species
AUACUUAAUACCUGCCAAGGGAGAUACCAUAAUCAUGAAGCUGAUUUUUUCAAGGCAAGACUCAUCCAUAACAGCAUGGAUGAGCUGACCCCUGCGAUUUCUCCAAAUGUGGGAAACUUGGCCUAAUUUGUGGUAGUGGGGGCUGCAUUUACACUCUCCCCUG